rnacentral:rRNA from 1 species
CCUACGGGAGGCAGCAGUGGGGAAUAUUGCACAAUGGGGGAAACCCUGAUGCAGCGACGCCGCGUGAGUGAAGAAGUAAUUCGUUAUGUAAAGCUCUAUCAGCAGGGAAGAAAAUGACGGUACCUGAGUAAUCAGCCCCGGCUACCUACGUGCCAGCAGCCGCGGUCAUACGUAGGGGGCAAGCGUUAUCCGGAUUUACUGGGUGUAAAGGGAGCGUAGACGGCAGUGCAAGUCUGGAGUGAAAGGCGGGGGCUCAACCCCCGGACUGCUCUGGAAACUGUACGGCUGGAGUGCAGGAGAGGUAAGUGGAAUUCCUAGUGUAGCGGUGAAAUGCGUAGAUAUUAGGAGGAACACCAGUGGCGAAGGCGGCUUACUGGACUGUAACUGACGUUGAGGCUCGAAAGCGUGGGGAGCAAACAGGAUUAGAUACCCUUGUAGUC